AUUGAACGCUGGCGGCAUGCCUUACACAUGCAAGUCGAACGGCAGCACGGGAGCUUGCUCCUGGUGGCGAGUGGCGAACGGGUGAGUAAUACAUCGGAACGUACCCUGAAGUGGGGGAUAACGUAGCGAAAGUUACGCUAAUACCGCAUAUUCUGUGAGCAGGAAAGAGGGGGGAUCGCAAGACCUCUUGCUUUAGGAGCGGCCGAUGUCGGAUUAGCUAGUUGGUGAGGUAAAGGCUCACCAAGGCGACGAUCCGUAGCGGGUCUGAGAGGAUGAUCCGCCACACUGGGACUGAGACACGGCCCAGACUCCUACGGGAGGCAGCAGUGGGGAAUUUUGGACAAUGGGCGCAAGCCUGAUCAGCCAUGCCGCGUGAGUGAAGAAGGCUCGGUGUAG
rnacentral:rRNA from 1 species